UGGGGAAUAUUGGACAAUGGGCGCAAGCCUGAUCCAGCAAUACCGCGUGUGUGAAGAAGGCCUUAGGGUUGUAAAGCACUUUCAAUUGGGAGGAAAACCUGCCGGUCAAUACCCGGUAGCUUGACAUUACCUUUAGAAGAAGCACCGGCUUAACUCCGUG
rnacentral:rRNA from 1 species